AUUGCUAUUCAGCCUUUUGGCUAAGAUCAAGUGUAGUA
rnacentral:snRNA from 1 species